AGAGUUUGAUCCUGGCUCAGGACGAACGCUGGCGGCGUGCUUAAUACAUGCAAGUCGAACGGAGUUAAGGGUUUCGGCCUUUAACUUAGUGGCGAACGGGUGAGUAACGCGUGAAUAACCUGACUCAAAGAGGGGGAUAACAACGGGAAACUGUUGCUAAUACCGCAUGAGACCACAACACCGCAUGAUGAAGGGGUCAAAGAUUUAUCGCUUUGAGAGGGGUUCGCGUCCCAUUAGGUAGUUGGAGGGGUAACGGCCCACCAAGCCAACGAUGGGUAGCCGAGCUGAGAGGCUGAUCGGCCACACUGGAACUGAGACACGGUCCAGACUCCUACGGGAGGCAGCAGUGGGGAAUAUUGGGCAAUGGGCGCAAGCCUGACCCAGCAACGCCGCGUGAAGGAAGAAGGCUUUCGGGUUGUAAACUUCUUUUGUCAGGGACGAGUAGAAGACGGUACCUGACGAAUAAGCCACGGCUAACUACGUGCCAGCAGCCGCGGUAAUACGUAGGUGGCAAGCGUUGUCCGGAUUUACUGGGUGUAAAGGGCGUGUAGCCGGGAGGGCAAGUCAGAUGUGAAAUCCACGGGCUCAACUCGUGAACUGCAUUUGAAACUACUCUUCUUGAGUAUCGGAGAGGCAAUCGGAAUUCCUAGUGUAGCGGUGAAAUGCGUAGAUAUUAGGAGGAACACCAGUGGCGAAGGCGGCUUACUGGACGAUAACUGACGCUGAGGCUCGAAAGCGUGGGGAGCAAACAGGAUUAGAUACCCUGGUAGUCCACGCUGUAAACGAUGAAUACUAGGUGUGCGGGGACUGACCCCCUGCGUGCCGCAGUUAACACAAUAAGUAUUCCACCUGGGGAGUACGAUCGCAAGGUUGAAACUCAAAGGAAUUGACGGGGGCCCGCACAAGCAGUGGAUUAUGUGGUUUAAUUCGAAGCAACGCGAAGAACCUUACCAGGGCUUGACAUCCUACUAACGAAGUAGAGAUACAUCAGGUGCCCUUCGGGGAAAGUAGAGACAGGUGGUGCAUGGUUGUCGUCAGCUCGUGUCGUGAGAUGUUGGGUUAAGU
rnacentral:rRNA from 1 species